GGCGCGAUGGCAGAGUGGUCUAAUGCGAUAGACUCGAACGAGCUCAAUAGUUCCUUCUUGAAAUCUAUUCUCUUCGGAGGCGUAGGUUCAAAUCCUACUCGCGUCG